CGUGGCCUGGUGGCGGGGCGCGGCGGGCUCCCUCGGGGUCCCGGCGGGCGGGCACUCGGCGGCCGCGGCGCGAUGGAGGCGCCGGCCGAUCUGCUGGCCGCCUUGCCGGCGCUGGCCACGGCGCUGGCACUGCUGCUCGCCUGGCUACUGCUGCGGCGUGGACCGGCCCCGGCCCCGGUCCCAGCCCCGGAACGCGCGUCCCCGACCGAGGCCCCCGGGGCUCCCGCGCCGCCUGCGCCUCCCGAGCCCUGCGCCCCGGAGCCCGCACCCGCGGGGCCGCGCCAGCCCGAGCCCGCGGCGGAGGCGGAGGAGCCCGCGGCGGAGGAGCCUGCGGACGAGGGGAGGCAGGAUGAAGAGCAAGACUCGGACAGCGAGACAGGGCCGCCCACUGAAGAGCCUGAGGAAGAGGAUGGCGAGGCCUUCUCCUUUAAAUACAGCCCCGGGCAGCUGCGGGGAAGCCAGUACAAGAAGAUGAUGACCAAAGAGGAACUGGAGGAGGAACAAAGGAUUGAGCUGACCUCUGACCUCACCUCUCUGUAGCGAGUCCCUUAGUCCCGGGCCACAAAUGCUGUUGCAAACCCUUGUGGUAAGGAGAGCUGAAGAAUAAUGAAGGUGUCCUUAGCCUCCUCCUGAAGGCUUUCUUUGCUUUUGACAUCUUAAAAGCUUGAUUUAAGAAAAAAAAAAAAAAAAAAGUCUGGGUGGUGGUGACGCACGUCUUUAGUCCCAAUACCAGGGAGACAGAGGCAGGCAGAUCUCUGUUGAAGUUUGAGGUUAGCCUGGUCUACAGAGCGAGUUCCAGGGCAGGCUCCAAAGCUACAGAGAAACCCUGUCUCUAAACAAACAAACAGGGAACCCCCAGGGAGGAGCCCGUGCAGGCUUGGGGUGGUGGGGGAGAGUUUGCAAAUCUGCUGACAUGCUGACACUCCCCCACCCCAACAUACAGACACCUUGGGUUCCCCUGGGCUAGCAAGAUCUGCUCAGAGGUGUUGGGGAGGGGGUUGCCAACACCAUGGGCUCAGGCCUUGGGCUUUUCUUACCAGCCAUGUUUGCUCCCCACACUCCCUUAUGCCCCCCACACCCUGUUCACACGACCCCCACCUCAUACUUUCGUUCUCACUGAAGCCAAACCACCAGGUUUGAGAAGUGACAGUCAAAUAAGGUGAAGCCCAGCAGCGCUUACUUGCUGACGGAGAUGUCACACACACCCUUGUAGGGGGGGCUUUCCCCUCUUUCUCUCUGGCAGGAAUGAUUCAUGCCAGGCACCCGCUUUAGCGUGGUCUCCCUUUUCUCUUUGCCCCCACCCCAGGAGUCUCGGGUGCAACCCUCUUGGUACUAAGAGGCCUUUACACUUAGUGUUCUUACCAGGUCAGCCUGGCCUCCACGGCCUCCACGGCCUCCACGUCCGCUUGCAGUAGCAGCAUUAGCUUCCGGUAGAUAUCUGGAUUGUGCAUUUCCUAGGUUUUUCCUAGAUGACUUUGAACCUCACUAGAUAACUUCCCAGCAGCCCCACGUUUUUCAGAUUUUUAUAUUUGACAGUAUUUAUACUAUAUACGAAACAGUUCUGAAAUCUUAGACUUGUUGGUGAAGACAUUUUCUUUUCUAAAACACUGAGUUUUUAGAAGAAUUUUCAUUUAAUAGAAAGCUGGAAAAAUGUCUAGCAUCAACUCCUAAGCCGGGCAUUCCUGGCUGCCUUAUCCCAUGCCUAAUAACUUGGGUUCAAGGCUUAGGGCUGAACAGGCAACAACGUCACACACACAAACUCAAGCAAUGCCUUUGACACAGAGUCAGGUGACCAACAGAGUCGAGCUCACUUGCUCCUGAACAGCAAUAGUGAAGUCCCUCUCUGGGCUGGGAUUUCCUCCUCUUAGGGGAGUGUGAGCUCUGGAUCUCCUCAGUUAGGCUUAUGUGGAAACCUGAGUAUGGCUCUGUGAGCAGGAAGCCCCUCACCCCUGGCGGUUUGGCUCGCUACUUAUAGCCUGUGUUCCAGCCAAUAAAAUGUUAAGUAGAGGACCUU